rnacentral:rRNA from 1 species
GGGUUGUGAGGUUAAGCGACUAAGCGUACACGGUGGAUGCCCUGGCAGUCAGAGGCGAUGAAGGACGUGCUAAUCUGCGAUAAGCGUCGGUAAGGUGAUAUGAACCGUUAUAACCGGCGAUUUCCGAAUGGGGAAACCCAGUGUGAUUCGUCACACUAUCAUUAACUGAAUCCAUAGGUUAAUGAGGCGAACCGGGGGAACUGAAACAUCUAAGUACCCCGAGGAAAAGAAAUCAACCGAGAUUCCCCCAGUAGCGGCGAGCGAACGGGGAGGAGCCCAGAGCCUGAAUCAGUGUGUGUGUUAGUGGAAGCGUCUGGAAAGGCGCGCGAUACAGGGUGACAGCCCCGUACACAAAAAUGCACAUGCUGUGAGCUCGAUGAGUAGGGCGGGACACGUGGUAUCCUGUCUGAAUAUGGGGGGACCAUCCUCCAAGGCUAAAUACUCCUGACUGACCGAUAGUGAACCAGUACCGUGAGGGAAAGGCGAAAAGAACCCCGGCGAGGGGAGUGAAAAAGAACCUGAAACCGUGUACGUACAAGCAGUGGGAGCACGCUUAGGCGUGUGACUGCGUACCUUUUGUAUAAUGGGUCAGCGACUUAUAUUCUGUAGCAAGGUUAACCGAAUAGGGGAGCCGAAGGGAAACCGAGUCUUAACUGGGCGUUAAGUUGCAGGGUAUAGACCCGAAACCCGGUGAUCUAGCCAUGGGCAGGUUGAAGGUUGGGUAACACUAACUGGAGGACCGAACCGACUAAUGUUGAAAAAUUAGCGGAUGACUUGUGGCUGGGGGUGAAAGGCCAAUCAAACCGGGAGAUAGCUGGUUCUCCCCGAAAGCUAUUUAGGUAGCGCCUCGUGAAUUCAUCUCCGGGGGUAGAGCACUGUUUCGGCAAGGGGGUCAUCCCGACUUACCAACCCGAUGCAAACUGCGAAUACCGGAGAAUGUUAUCACGGGAGACACACGGCGGGUGCUAACGUCCGUCGUGAAGAGGGAAACAACCCAGACCGCCAGCUAAGGUCCCAAAGUCAUGGUUAAGUGGGAAACGAUGUGGGAAGGCCCAGACAGCCAGGAUGUUGGCUUAGAAGCAGCCAUCAUUUAAAGAAAGCGUAAUAGCUCACUGGUCGAGUCGGCCUGCGCGGAAGAUGUAACGGGGCUAAACCAUGCACCGAAGCUGCGGCAGCGACGCUUAUGCGUUGUUGGGUAGGGGAGCGUUCUGUAAGCCUGUGAAGGUGUGCUGUGAGGCAUGCUGGAGGUAUCAGAAGUGCGAAUGCUGACAUAAGUAACGAUAAAGCGGGUGAAAAGCCCGCUCGCCGGAAGACCAAGGGUUCCUGUCCAACGUUAAUCGGGGCAGGGUGAGUCGACCCCUAAGGCGAGGCCGAAAGGCGUAGUCGAUGGGAAACAGGUUAAUAUUCCUGUACUUGGUGUUACUGCGAAGGGGGGACGGAGAAGGCUAUGUUGGCCGGGCGACGGUUGUCCCGGUUUAAGCGUGUAGGCUGGUUUUCCAGGCAAAUCCGGAAAAUCAAGGCUGAGGCGUGAUGACGAGGCACUACGGUGCUGAAGCAACAAAUGCCCUGCUUCCAGGAAAAGCCUCUAAGCAUCAGGUAACAUCAAAUCGUACCCCAAACCGACACAGGUGGUCAGGUAGAGAAUACCAAGGCGCUUGAGAGAACUCGGGUGAAGGAACUAGGCAAAAUGGUGCCGUAACUUCGGGAGAAGGCACGCUGAUAUGUAGGUGAAGUCCCUUGCGGAUGGAGCUGAAAUCAGUCGAAGAUACCAGCUGGCUGCAACUGUUUAUUAAAAACACAGCACUGUGCAAACACGAAAGUGGACGUAUACGGUGUGACGCCUGCCCGGUGCCGGAAGGUUAAUUGAUGGGGUCAGCGCAAGCGAAGCUCUUGAUCGAAGCCCCGGUAAACGGCGGCCGUAACUAUAACGGUCCUAAGGUAGCGAAAUUCCUUGUCGGGUAAGUUCCGACCUGCACGAAUGGCGUAAUGAUGGCCAGGCUGUCUCCACCCGAGACUCAGUGAAAUUGAACUCGCUGUGAAGAUGCAGUGUACCCGCGGCAAGACGGAAAGACCCCGUGAACCUUUACUAUAGCUUGACACUGAACAUUGAGCCUUGAUGUGUAGGAUAGGUGGGAGGCUUUGAAGUGUGGACGCCAGUCUGCAUGGAGCCGACCUUGAAAUACCACCCUUUAAUGUUUGAUGUUCUAACGUUGACCCGUAAUCCGGGUUGCGGACAGUGUCUGGUGGGUAGUUUGACUGGGGCGGUCUCCUCCUAAAGAGUAACGGAGGAGCACGAAGGUUGGCUAAUCCUGGUCGGACAUCAGGAGGUUAGUGCAAUGGCAUAAGCCAGCUUGACUGCGAGCGUGACGGCGCGAGCAGGUGCGAAAGCAGGUCAUAGUGAUCCGGUGGUUCUGAAUGGAAGGGCCAUCGCUCAACGGAUAAAAGGUACUCCGGGGAUAACAGGCUGAUACCGCCCAAGAGUUCAUAUCGACGGCGGUGUUUGGCACCUCGAUGUCGGCUCAUCACAUCCUGGGGCUGAAGUAGGUCCCAAGGGUAUGGCUGUUCGCCAUUUAAAGUGGUACGCGAGCUGGGUUUAGAACGUCGUGAGACAGUUCGGUCCCUAUCUGCCGUGGGCGCUGGAGAACUGAGGGGGGCUGCUCCUAGUACGAGAGGACCGGAGUGGACGCAUCACUGGUGUUCGGGUUGUCAUGCCAAUGGCACUGCCCGGUAGCUAAAUGCGGAAGAGAUAAGUGCUGAAAGCAUCUAAGCACGAAACUUGCCCCGAGAUGAGUUCUCCCUGACUCCUUGAGAGUCCUGAAGGAACGUUGAAGACGACGACGUUGAUAGGCCGGGUGUGUAAGCGCAGCGAUGCGUUGAGCUAACCGGUACUAAUGAACCGUGAGGCUUAACCUUACAACGCCGAAGGUGUUU